GAUGAACGCUGGCGGCGUGCCUAAUACAUGCAAGUCGAGUGAACAGACGAGGAGCUUGCUCCUCUGACGUUAGCGGCGGACGGGUGAGUAACACGUGGAUAACCUACCUAUAAGACUGGGAUAACUUCGGGAAACCGGAGCUAAUACCGGAUAAUAUAUUGAACCGCAUGGUUCAAUAGUGAAAGACGGUUUUGCUGUCACUUAUAGAUGGAUCCGCGCCGCAUUAGCUAGUUGGUAAGGUAACGGCUUACCAAGGCGACGAUGCGUAGCCGACCUGAGGGGGUGAUCGGCCACACUGGAACUGAGACACGGUCCAGACUCCUACGGGAGGCAGCAGUAGGGAAUCUUCCGCAAUGGGCGAAAGCCUGACGGAGCAACGCCGCGUGAGUGAUGAAGGUCUUCGGAUCGUAAAACUCUGUUAUUAGGGAAGAACAAAUGUGUAAGUAACUAUGCACGUCUUGACGGUACCUAAUCAGAAAGCCACGGCUAACUACGUG
rnacentral:rRNA from 1 species